ensembl:lncRNA
UCAAUGUUUACUGUUGCUAUGGCAACAAGGGACUGCUGACGUUAGCAGCUGUUAGCUAGCUUAGCCAAAUCAUCUGAACAAUAAUAACCAAUAAUAUCACAAUUCGGCCUAUUUAAACAAAAUCAACCACAACUACCAACAGUCACAGCCCUUCAACUCUGGGCUAAUAUGUUGUCACAAGUAUGCAGUUAAUUAGGUCACAUCACAUUCAAUGUAAAAACGUUUUCUACUUGGUUUUGGACAUGUCUCAAAAUGUAGCCUAGGCUAACGUUACUUAGCAUAUAUGCCUCCACUCGCUCGUCUCCUGGCGCAGCAGCACCUGCUGGGGUGUGGACCCUGGCACCAAAUAGGUCUGUCAAUUUUGAACAUUUAACUUCCAUCUCCAGAGGCUUAAGUCGCCGUUUUUCAGCACCACCCGGGCGUUUUCAGCUCCGUACCGGCUCCCGGCUCCGGACCAUGCCAUGAGGUCCCGCCAACCCUGGUAUACGUGGUUUGUAGUAGACCUCACAACGGGACUCAAGUAGCAGGGACUUGCCUCUAUGUUCCCAACAAGUCAGGUGCAGUGGAGCCGUGGCCUGUCUGGACAUGUCAGCGAUCUGCCUCGGCCCGGACCAGCCCGAGGGUUGGUCCUGGACGGCGUGUACCGCCGUCACCCACCAGACGGCGACCGAGAGCAGCCCUUUCGCCUCCCCAAUCAGCGUGAUUGGGGGACACCUGGCCGAAAGCCGAGGAGGCAGUAUAAAAGGACUGACAUUUGGACAGCACGGCACGCACGGGAGAGCUAGGAAGAAGGAAGCGCUAGGGUCCACGAGCAGCUAGAGGCCCACGUAGGCCCUAGAGACCGCGAGUGCCCUGGUUGAUUGAAGUUAUAUAUAAUAAAUGCCUUGAAUGGCUUUAACCUUGGAUAAACGCGUCGUUUGUACCGGUAACCCGGCUCAUUCAAGGAGCGGGUUGCCACAGUGUGUUUGUAUGUGUGCAUGUGUGGGG